rnacentral:tRNA from 1 species
GCCAUCUUAGCUCAGCUGGUCAGAGCACGUGAUUUGUAAUCUCGGGGUCGCCGGUUCGAAUCCGGCAGAUGGCU